GUAAUUCCUUCGCUCCUGCAACAGGAGGGUCUAAGAUGCAUAUUUCCACUUAACCCUCCAGCCUUUUUCUGUAUCCAUAUCUAGGGGCAUGAACAAGAACCAAGGUAGCCAUUAUAUAACUUUGGACCAUGGAGAGGGAUGCUAUAUAUUUAUUUAUGUUCGUUUGUUUAUUAUUUUGAAGGGAUGGAGAUAGUCUGAACUUUAGAGAGUGCUAUAAUUUACUAGAGGGAGGAGGUACAAGAUGUAGAACCACAAGCUAUUGGUGGGAAACUAGGCCUCAAAGCAGAAAAUGAAAAGUCGAUCUGGGGGAAGAUUUUUAAAUAAGUGGGUCAGAGAGACCAAGAGGAGAUGAGGCGAUCAAUCUUAGCCCCCUGACAGCUCCCUCCGAUUGCAUCAAAGAAUUUGUCUCUUUGGGAAAGCAGAAGGAACAGCCGAAAUUCCACAUCCCUUAAAAAGGACUGAGGGGAGGGGGUGGUAAAAGAGAAAGGUGAUUCUGGGAGAGCCAGGAAACAGAUGGGAAAUGGGGACAGAGGGAAGGCGCUGAGUUGGGUGGAAAGUUUGCCGGGAGAACUCCCACGGCUCUGGCCUCCCCUCCCCCUACCGGUUCUCUGCAACCCAGACCGAAGGAGAAGGCUAGUUAGCAGAGAAAUGGAAACUCAACUGGGAGCUGGAACUAGAAACUUUGUCAAUGUAACAUCCGCGUGGGAGGUGACCCAAUGGUUGUUGGGCUUCGGGUCACGUGAUGACUUCUUUGUAGCUCCGGAAGACGACUGUGAAGUUUAGGUUCUGUGGAAGAAGCAGAGAAAGAGAGGGGGAAAAUCAAGAUUUGGGGGAAUUACCCACAGAGGUGGAAGGUGUGUUAAUUUGGGAGCUUCUUGGAUUCUACCCUGAGGAGGAGGAGCGUGGUGAGAGGAGAGCUCCACUAGCUGCGCGCUGGUGUACGCCGUCCGCGCCCGCUUGGACGCCGCUGACCCCGGGGGGCUCUUGUCCCCUCCCCCGCCACCGCCGCCGCCGCCCCCACUGCCUCCACUACUGCCGCCGCCGCCGCCACCACCACCGCCACCGCAGCCUUCUGCUGGAUCCAAGGAGGAGGGGUGGGAAGGGGAGAAAAUGAAAUAAAAGAU